UGAGGAAUAUUGGUCAAUGGGCGUGAGCCUGAACCAGCCAAGUCGCGUGAGGGAAGACGGCCCUAAGGGUUGUAAACCUCUUUUGUCAGGGAGCAAAGCCUUCACGUGUGGAGUUUUGAGAGUACCUGAAGAAAAAGCAUCGGCUAACUACGUUCCAGCAGCCGCGGUAAUACGGAGGAUGCGAGCGUUAUCCGGAUUUAUUGGGUUUAAAGGGUGCGUAGGCGGGAUGUCAAGUCAGCGGUCAAACUGCGGGGCUCAACCCCGUAUUGCCGUUGAAACUGGCGUUCUUGAGUGAGUGAGAGGUAUGCGGAAUGCGUGGUGUAGCGGUGAAAUGCAUAGAUAUCACGCAGAACCCCGAUUGCGAAGGCAGCAUACCGGUGCUCAACUGACGCUGAGGCACGAAAGCGUGGGGAUCAAACAGGA
rnacentral:rRNA from 1 species